rnacentral:rRNA from 1 species
GGGUAACGGGGAAUUAGGGUUCGAUUCCGGAGAAGGAGCCUGAGAAACGGCUACUACAUCUAAGGAAGGCAGCAGGCGCGUAAAUUACCCAAUCCUGACUCAGGGAGGUAGUGACAAGAUAUAACGACGCGACUAAAAAUCGCGAUUGUAGUGAGGGUAUUCUAAACCGAACCACUAGUACGAUUGGAGGGCAAGUCUGGUGCCAGCAGCCGCGGUAAUUCCAGCUCCAAUAGCGUAUAUUAAAGUUGUUGCAGUUAGAAAGCUCGUAGUUGGAUUUCAAGGGAAGCAACGUGAUCCACGUUGCCCCCUACCAGUCUUUGACUGUUACUGUGAGAAAAUUAGAGUGUUUCAAGCAGGCUGUUGCAGGAAUACAUUAGCAUGGAAUAACGAAUGUGUCUAGAAUCUUGGUUAAUUCUAGAUUACGAUUAAUAGGGACAGUUGGGGGCAUUAGUAUUUAAUUGUCAGAGGUGAAAUUCUUGGAUUUGUUAAAGACUAACGUAUGCGAAAGCAUUUGCCAAGGAUGUUUUCA